rnacentral:rRNA from 1 species
UACGUAGGGGGCAAGCGUUGUCCGGAUUUAUUGGGCGUAAAGAGCGUGUAGGCGGCCUGAAAGGUCAGCUGUGAAAACUCGAGGCUCAACCUCGAGACGUCGGUUGAAACCAUCUGGCUAGAGUCCGGAAGAGGAGUGUGGAAUUCCCGGUGUAGCGGUGAAAUGCGCAGAUAUCGGGAAGAACACCCGUGGCGAAGGCGGGUCUCUGGACGACUCCUGACACUGAGGCACGAAAGCCAGGGGAGCAAACAGG